AUGAGGAUCGUUGGAGUAGGCAGCGUGCUGGAGGCCGCUCGACCGGUGGCGGCGAUGGUGGUGGUGGAGUUCGUCUUCUCGGCUAUGCAGAUCUUCAUCAAGCUCGCGCUCGACGACGGCAUGGACGUCCGUGUCCUCGUCGCCUACAGGCCCAUGUUCGGCGCCGCGUUCCUCUGCCCCAUCGCCUUCCUCGUCGAGAGGAAGAAACGUCCACCACUAACCAUCAAGGUUGUGACAGGGUUAUUCUUGUGUGGACUGUUCGGAGUCACCAUGAACCAGAACCUGUUGGUGCUUGCCAUCAAGCUGACGAAUUCGACGACCAUCGUCACAGCUCUCAGCAACCUCACCCCUCAAGCUACCUUCAUCGUCGCAAUCCUGAGCAGGAUGGAGACUUUGAAGCUCAGAAAGCCCAGCGGUCAAGCGAAACUGGCGGGAACCCUGGUCGGCCUGGGCGGCGCGAUGCUGCUGACGUUCUACAAGGGCCCGGAGAUGGGGUUCCUCCACCGUCUGGCGCACACCGGGCUCAGCCACGCCAGCGGCGAUCGCCAGCUCCGGCCGCAGCCGGCCGCGGGUUCUCGGAUUCUCGGCUCGUUUCUCGCCAUCGCCGGCUGCUUCAGCUAUGCGAUCUGGCUCACCAUCCAGGCCAAGGUCGUCCAGGUCUACCCGUGCCACUACUCCAUCGCCGCUCUGGUGUGCGUCUUCGGCGCGGUCCAGUCGACGCUGCUCACGCUCUGCAUCCUCAGGGACGCCGACCACUGGAGGCUCGGGCUCAACAUCAGGCUCUACGCGUCGGCUUUCGCGGGUAUCGUGGCGUCCGGGUCCGCCUUCCCGCUCAUGUCGUGGUGCCUGCAGGAGAAAGGACCCCUCUACGUCGCCAUGUUCGGACCUCUCAUCAUCGUCUUCGUCGCCGUCAUGAGCUCCGUCGUCCUUAACGAGGCCCUGCACAUCGGAAUCGUACUUGGUGCUGUGCUAAUCGUGGCGGGGCUGUACAUGGUGCUAUGGGGCAAGGCCAAAGAGGAAGAUGAACAAGAAGCCGAUGCGCCAAAACUUGUUGGUCAAGACGACGUGCUGGGCAAGGAGUCCGUUCCACAGGCUAACCGUGAAGUUAAUGAGGAAAAUAAAGACUUUAGGCUAGUCAUAGUGAGAGUAACUUAG
rnacentral:rRNA from 1 species